UUCCCACAAAAGAUGUCGCACAGAAGCUAUUGCCCCAUACUUGGUGGCCACCCCCUUCCAGGCGCAUCCGGCUCCACGACAAGCCCAUGGAGUACUUCGACGACCUCGCCGAGAUGUACGUGGGCAGGAACGUAUCCCCCUGGCCUCUACGGCUGGGUGUUCCCCAAGUGCGACCACAUCGCCAUCGAAACCAGCACCAUCACAGCGAUGUCCGGCCGGCUUGAGCUGCUGCAGGCAGGAGAGAGAAGGAACAAAGGAAGAAGUCAGUGAGCAUUCUCUUCUUUCGUUCAGUUUAUUUCUCUGAUGGGGCUGAAAACUACUAUGAAGGGAAAAGCUCAUUGUUUCUGCUUUGAAGCGGCAUACAUUUCUGCAUGAUUACAACGUGGUUGAACAGGACAGUAGUAACCUCAUACUGCUAAAGUUGAUUGCUCAGCCCAUGACGCCGACUAUUCUUGGUGCCCUCCAGAUUUUCUGGUAUCAAGAGAUAUAUAUGGAGGAAAUGACUAUGUAAUAUAUUUACAAAAAUACUUCCAAAACCAUAAGGUGGACUAAAGAGAGAUGCAGGGAAGAUAUAGAUACGAUCACAUGUGAGCACUGAUCAAAGUUGAGAUUUGAUGAGUCACACAGAAAUGUAUGUGCAAAUUUAUUUUUCAAAGACAUACAUGAGAAAUACAUGUUUCUUGCUUAACAACUCAUGCAAACUUCUGUUAUUGCUACUACCAUUGAUUGUUUUAGUUGUUGCAAUCCAAUGCAGAUUAUUUUGAUAGAAACUCUACAAUUUUUCGAUCUUUUGCAAGGCGAUGUUGGAUUGAGUGUUUUGAAUUGGAGUGAUCCAGACGUCAACAACAGUCGAGGAUCUCGAAGAUGGGCAUGAACAACCUACCACACCGAUGGGAGGAAGCUCAAAGAGGCAAAGAAAUUUCAGCGAUUAAAGACUGGACGUUGGAUGCAUAGAGAUAACUGAGGAUUCAGUCAUAGGAGUCGACCAAUCUCUUGCUUGUUAUUGGAAAGAAUCCAUGAUUCCUAUAGAAAAUAUGCUAUAUGCAAAUUUGGUAUGAAAAUAUAUUUCAUCAUGAAUCUAAUGAAGCAAAUUUGGUGUUGUA